UUAAAUUGAAGAGUUUGAUCAUGGCUCAGAUUGAACGCUGGCGGCAGGCCUAACACAUGCAAGUCGAACGGUAACAGGAAGCAGCUUGCUGCUUUGCUGACGAGUGGCGGACGGGUGAGUAAUGUCUGGGAAACUGCCUGAUGGAGGGGGAUAACUACUGGAAACGGUAGCUAAUACCGCAUAACGUCGCAAGACCAAAGAGGGGGACCUUCGGGCCUCUUGCCAUCGGAUGUGCCCAGAUGGGAUUAGCUAGUAGGUGGGGUAACGGCUCACCUAGGCGACGAUCCCUAGCUGGUCUGAGAGGAUGACCAGCCACACUGGAACUGAGACACGGUCCAGACUCCUACGGGAGGCAGCAGUGGGGAAUAUUGCACAAUGGGCGCAAGCCUGAUGCAGCCAUGCCGCGUGUAUGAAGAAGGCCUUCGGGUUGUAAAGUACUUUCAGCGGGGAGGAAGGGAGUAAAGUUAAUACCUUUGCUCAUUGACGUUACCCACAGAAGAAGCACCGGCUAACUCCGUGCCAGCAGCCGCGGUAAUACGGAGGGUGCAAGCGUUAAUCGGAAUUACUGGGCGUAAAGCGCACGCAGGCGGUUUGUUAAGUCAGAUGUGAAAUCCCCGGGCUCAACCUGGGAACUGCAUCUGAUACUGGCAAGCUUGAGUCUCGUAGAGGGGGGUAGAAUUCCAGGUGUAGCGGUGAAAUGCGUAGAGAUCUGGAGGAAUACCGGUGGCGAAGGCGGCCCCCUGGACGAAGACUGACGCUCAGGUGCGAAAGCGUGGGGAGCAAACAGGAUUAGAUACCCUGGUAGUCCACGCCGUAAACGAUGUCGACUUGGAGGUUGUGCCCUUGAGGCGUGGCUUCCGGAGCUAACGCGUUAAGUCGACCGCCUGGGGAGUACGGCCGCAAGGUUAAAACUCAAAUGAAUUGACGGGGGCCCGCACAAGCGGUGGAGCAUGUGGUUUAAUUCGAUGCAACGCGAAGAACCUUACCUGGUCUUGACAUCCACAGAACUUUCCAGAGAUGGAUUGGUGCCUUCGGGAACUGUGAGACAGGUGCUGCAUGGCUGUCGUCAGCUCGUGUUGUGAAAUGUUGGGUUAAGUCCCGCAACGAGCGCAACCCUUAUCCUUUGUUGCCAGCGGUCCGGCCGGGAACUCAAAGGAGACUGCCAGUGAUAAACUGGAGGAAGGUGGGGAUGACGUCAAGUCAUCAUGGCCCUUACGACCAGGGCUACACACGUGCUACAAUGGCGCAUACAAAGAGAAGCGACCUCGCGAGAGCAAGCGGACCUCAUAAAGUGCGUCGUAGUCCGGAUUGGAGUCUGCAACUCGACUCCAUGAAGUCGGAAUCGCUAGUAAUCGUGGAUCAGAAUGCCACGGUGAAUACGUUCCCGGGCCUUGUACACACCGCCCGUCACACCAUGGGAGUGGGUUGCAAAAGAAGUAGGUAGCUUAACCUUCGGGAGGGCGCUUACCACUUUGUGAUUCAUGACUGGGGUGAAGUCGUAACAAGGUAACCGUAGGGGAACCUGCGGUUGGAUCACCUCCUUACCUUAAAGAAGC
rnacentral:rRNA from 1 species